AUCCGAUGUGGGUGGAAAGAUUUAUUGGUGGAGGAUGGACUCGCGGCCUAUCAGCUUGUUGGUGAGGUAAUGGCUCACCAAGGCGACGACGGGUAGCCGGCCUGAGAGGGCGAUCGGCCACACUGGGACUGAGACACGGCCCAGACUCCUACGGGAGGCAGCAGUGGGGAAUAUUGCACAAUGGGCGAAAGCCUGAUGCAGCGACGCCGCGUGAGGGAUGAAGGCCUUCGGGUUGUAAACCUCUUUCAGCAGGGAAGAAGCGGCCGGGUUUUCUUGGUUGUGACGGUACCUGCAGAAGAAGCACCGGCUAACUACGUGCCAGCAGCCGCGGUAAUACGUAGGGUGCAAGCGUUGUCCGGAAUUAUUGGGCGUAAAGAGCUUGUAGGCGGUUUGUCGCGUCUGCUGUGAAAUUUCGGGGCUCAACCCCGAACUUGCAGUGGGUACGGGCAGACUAGAGUGUGGUAGGGGAGACUGGAAUUCCUGGUGUAGCGGUGAAAUGCGCAGAUAUCAGGAGGAACACCGAUGGCGAAGGCAGGUCUCUGGGCCACUACUGACGCUGAGAAGCGAAAGCAUGGGGAGCGAACAGGAUUAGAUACCCUGGUAGUCCAUGCCGUAAACGUUGGGAACUAGGUGUGGGCCUCAUUCCACGAGGUCCGUGCCGCAGCUAACGCAUUAAGUUCCCCGCCUGGGGAGUACGG
rnacentral:rRNA from 1 species